GUAACGGCGAGUGAAGCGGCAACAGCUCAAAUUUGAAAUCUGGCCGCAAGGUCCGAGUUGUAAUUUGCAGAGGAUGCUUUUGGCGAGGUGCCUUCCGAGUUCCCUGGAACGGGACGCCAUAGAGGGUGAGAGCCCCGUACGGUAGGACCACCGAGCCUUUGUAAAGCUCCUUCGACGAGUCGAGUAGUUUGGGAAUGCUGCUCUAAAUGGGAGGUGUACGUCUUCUAAAGCUAAAUACCGGCCAGAGACCGAUAGCGCACAAGUAGAGUGAUCGAAAGAUGAAAAGCACUUUGAAAAGAGGGUUAAAAAGUACGUGAAAUUGUUGAAAGGGAAGCAUUCAUGACCAGACUUGGGCUUGGUUGAACAUCCGGCGUUCUCGCCGGUGCACUCUGCCAGUCCAGGCCAGCAUCAGUUUGCCCCGGGGGACAAAGGCGGUGGGAAUGUGGCUCUCUCCGGGGAGUGUUAUAGCCCGCCGUGUAAUGCCCUGGGGCGGACUGAGG
rnacentral:rRNA from 1 species